UGACAUUUAGAAAGAUCCUGGUGAACAAGACCCCAGCAGAAGGAUCAGGCCAUCAAGGAGAGAGGCGCCUUUCUCCGAAGGGAGGAAGGAACCUCCACUGUGAUACGGCCUUGACUAAACAAGUUCAGAGUUGGUGAACUCAAGGGGCUUCCAUAGCCUAGACAGCUCAUAGCAAGAGUCUCAGGUGAUUGCUGACAUCAUAAAUAAGAGUGCCAAUUGUUAAAUCAACAACGGGAGUCACUGGGUUCAUGCUCCCCACGUAGGAUCUCUAUCCUUAAUGUGUUUAACUAUGAAACUCAAAAACAACACUACUAGUCGAACAAUACCCUAUACCUGGUUCGGUUGGGUGAGUGCAGCCUGUUGAAAUCCCUGCUUAGUAUAUACUAAGUUGAUCUUCAGUAUAUGAAGGUUAAAAAAUGGACCAUGGCAUUCACUCUAAGUCCUACAUCAGAGCUAAGUGAUGACCACAAGGACAAUGAUGGGGAGAAGCAAAGGUGUACAUAAAAUGAGGAAUGAAGAAGAUCAAAAACAUUAAUUCGUACAUGGGCUGUUGGAGAGAAGACUACUUGGUACAAGAG